rnacentral:rRNA from 1 species
GUCUAUGUCCACGCUACCCUGAACAAGCCCCAUCCUGGCUGAUCUCGGAAGCUAAGCAGAGUUGGGCCUGGUUAGUACUUGGAUGGGAGACCACCUCGGAAGACCAGGUGCUGUAGGCA